GGGGCUGUAGCUCAGCGGUAGAGCGGCGGUUCGGCAGACCGUAGGUCGGGAGUUCGAGUCUCCCCAGUUCCACGA
rnacentral:tRNA from 1 species